AUGCUGGUGUCAAUUGUCCUCCUUCUCACUGCCCUGCUCCACGCCGGACAGACAGCCCUCACCCUGGAUCAGCCAUUCAGUUCCAUCACUAAAAAGUCAGGGAGUUAUGCAAAAUUUCUCUGCGUGUUUUCUGACAAAAGCAUCACGUACAUCCAUUGGUAUCACCAGCAGCCUGGGAAGGCUCCCCAGUGCCUGCUCUACUAUCACCUGGACACGUCUGCAUCUACACCAGAAUCGGGAUUUACCUCGGACAAAAUCUAUCCUUAUAAGACCAAAGAUCAAGGCUGCACAUCGGUGGUCGAGAAACUCAGUGUGAGCUAUGCUGGCGUCUAUUGCUGUGCCAGCUGGGACUCCAUGGUGACGCAGGUCCCUCUGUUCCUCCUACAAAAAAACACUGUCGUGGUCACCAGUCUGGGCACCUAUAUGCUCAUCCCAGCCUCAAAAGAAGUAGAAUCCAGCCUAUGGGAUGGAGGUUUGCAAGUGGUCAACUGA